rnacentral:rRNA from 1 species
UGAAUACGAGAUGCUACGGCGUCGAAGCAGUGUAUGUCAGACUUCCAAGAAAAGCUCGCAAUGUCAUAAAUAAAGAAUGCCUGUACCAUAACCGACACAGGUGGGUAGGUAGAGUAUACUAAGGGGCGCGAGAUAACUCUCUCUAAGGAACUCGGCAAAAUAACUCCGUAACUUCGGGAGAAGGAGUGCCUUCUUUAAGAAGGUUGCAAUAACAAGAUCCAAGCAACUGUUUAUCAAAAACACAGGUCUCCGCUAAGUCGUAAGACGAUGUAUGGGGGCUGACGCCUGCCCAGUGCCAGAAGGUUAAAGAAGUUGGUUAGCUUUUGCGAAGCUGAUGACUGAAGCCCUGGUGAACGGCGGCCGUAACAAUAACGGUCCUAAGGUAGCGAAAUUCCUUGUCGGGUAAGUUCCGACCCGCACGAAAGGCGUAAUGAUUUGGAUACUGUCUCGGAGAGGGACUCGGUGAAAUAGACUUGUCUGUGAAGAUGCGGACUACCUGCACCAGGACAGAAAGACCCUAUGAAGCUUUACUGUAACUUGAAAUUGAAAUUGGACUUUAUUUGCGCAGUAUAGGUGGAAGGCGUUGUAAGUAAUCUUGCGGGAUUAGUGGAGCCAUCAGUGAGAUACCACUCCUAUAAUGUUAGAUUUCUAACUUUGGAUCAUGACCUGGUCAAAGAACAGUUUCAGGCGGGCAGUUUGACUGGGGCGGUCGCCUCCCAAAUGGUAACGGAGGCGUACAAAGGUUUCCUCUGAACGGGUAGAAAUCGUAUCUAGAGUGUAAAGGCAUAAGGAAGCUUGACUGUGAGACCUACAAGUCGAGCAGGGACGAAAGUCGGUCUUAGUGAUCUGACGGUGCUGAGUGGAAAGGCCGUCACUCAACGGAUAAAAGUUACUCUAGGAUAACAGGCUGAUCUCCCCCAAGAGUUCACAUCGACGGGGAGGUUUGGCACCUCGAUGUCGGCUCAUCGCAUCCUGGGGCGGUAGUACGUCCCAAGGGUUGGGCUGUUCGCCCAUGAAAGCGGUACGCGAGCUGGGUUCAGAACGUCGUGAGACAGUUCGGUCCAUAUCCGGUGUAGGCGUUAGAAUAUUGAGAGGAGCCUUCUUUAGUACGAGAGGACCGAGAAGGACAUACCUCUGGUGUACCAGUUAUCGUGCCAACGGUAAACGCUGGGUAGCUAUGUAUGGAGAGGAUAACCGCUGAAAGCAUCUAAGUGGGAAGCCCACCUCAAGAUGAGUAUUCUC